GCUGGUGUGGCUCAGUGGCUAGAGCAUCGGCCGAAGGGACCGGGGUUCGAUUCCGGUCACAGCA
rnacentral:tRNA from 1 species